AAACAAUGAAUAAGACCCAUCAAACUUGAAAGUUGAUGUAUUUAUUUCCAGAAAUGUUUUUUUUUUUUUGAAAGAAAACGAUAUUUUGAUGUUCUUAGCAUGCCAAGUCAGAAAUUUCUUUUUCUCCUUUACGAUUACUAGUUUGGUGUUGUUUUUUUUUCCCCAGUAUCUUUUAAAGCAUACCUUGAGGAUUCCAAAGCCAUAGAACUCAACCUUUUCUUCAGUAGGAGCAUGGCCUUUGAAAGGUCCUUCAAAGAAACCCCAAUGCCUGAAUUUGAAAGAAAUCACUGGAGGCCCUGAAUAUACACUCAGCACUUCCCAUGCGAAUCCUCGAGGCAAGGCAGAUCGAAAGGCAUCAUGAGAUGAUUCGAAGGUUUCUUCAUCUGCUUUGUAGUACUGAAAUUCCUUCGGCAGAGAACUCUUCAACAAAGCAUUGUAGCUACCAAUCCUAAGCGUCUCUUCUGCUGCUAAUCCCUCUCUUCCUAUCAUAGAGUAAAAAUAUUUACAACGCUUAAAUUAUUACCUUCGUAAUUAUAUUUAAUAGCUUAAAUCAAAUAUAAGAAUAAUUUAAUAAGAAACCAAAUUGAGUUUUAGUUUGAUGAACCAUUAACAAUGAGCUUGAACGUGUCAGGGUUGAUGGUCUUAAUGUCCUGUACGCGAGUCUUGUGUUCGAUUUCCAUAUCCCAUGUCUUUAUAGCAUUUUGCACUACUUCUUCUAGCGAUCCUUUUGGCCAUUCCUUCAAACCAUAUAUCAAACACAGAAAAUGAGACUCAAAAAUUCAAGGGUCAUAAACAUAUACAUAUACAAAAAAAAAAAAAAAAACAUAAAGCAUAGGCACUAAGGGUAUAAAGAAGGUUGAGGACCUUAGUUCGGCCUUCUUCAAAGAGCUGAUUUACUGUAUCGAAAUUGGGAGGGCCACCAUGCCUCCACUGUGUGGUAUUCUCAGUGUCUUCAUGCAAGAAAGAUCUGUAUUUAUCUCCUACUUUUAUAAUCGUACAUGCUUCUUCAGUAGCCAUAUAAACUUCCCCACAUGGUAUACUACUAAGGUUUAAUUUUCUGAGGCUCUAUAUAGGGCUGGAGAUGGCCACAUUUAUAAAAGACACAUUUGUUUCUUCUGCCUGGUGCAUGCAUGAUAACCACAUAACAUUGACACCAGAUGUAUCAAAUAAUAUAAUUUUUUAAUAAAAAAAAAAACAGACGUAACUUAUGGUUUUUUCCUACCUCGACCACCAGAUGCAAUUUUGUUUUUCUUCUUUUGUUUGGUUUAUGGAGAGGCUCAACGGAAACAAAUGUACAUAGUUAGAUAUAGGCCUCUUAGGACGAAUUUGAGACCUUAUUCAAGCAUAAAUUAUAAGCUUAUUAACCACUUUGUUGGGUUUGUUUUCAAGUAUGUUUGGUAGUGUGAUAAUAAUUAUUUUUUAAAAUGUUUUUUGUUUGGAAAUAUAUUAAAAUAAUAUAUAUUUUUUAUUUUUUAAAAUGAUUUUUUAUAUUAACAAAACAAAAUAAUCUGAAAAUACUAAAAAAUAUUAAUUAAUUUGAAGUAAGAAAAAAAUAAAAAAAUUUAAAUUUUUUUAAAAACACUUUUGAAACACAAAAACAAACAUGUCAAAAUAUAAAAAACCAUAGUAUAUUCGAUAUAAAAUCUUUCAAAAAAAAAAAAAUAAUAAUCUCAUUCCUGCAAUCUUCCCUGUAAAUGACCAAAAUAUUAAUUUUAUCAUUCCGAUACAAGUCGUCUUCGGAUGUUGGAUAAAAGAAAUCUAACAUCCGAUAAUUUACGAGUAAAUAAUAGUGUGAUUAGAUGACAAAUUUGAAUAGCAAUUGUGUACUAUCCACACCAUUUAACUAAUACUAUCAAGAUCUAAAGUUCAACCGAGUGCCUGAAUGUAUUUGGUGAGACUUUUUGGCUAACUUAUGCCUCAUUUUCCUUGAUUCUACGUAAGCCCUUACGUAAACUUGGGCAGUGAUCAGGGAAGAUGGAAAAAUAAACCAAACGAAAGGAGAUUGAUUGCACAAGAGCUCGCCUAAAGAAAAGUCCAGCGGUCAUAGAUAUAUAGAAUAACAUAGAAAAGUUCAGAAUCUGGCAUGGACCCCAGAGAUCUUGAUUGCAAGUGAUCUUUGGCUUGAUGAUAUUAAUUAAUAAUCCUGAAUUGGGUGUGCCUUACCAAUAAUGCUAAAUUCUUGUUAGUUUAUUACACAAACAUUCAACCAUCCUCGUGAAAGAAGUGCUUCUAGGCAAUGCAAUGCCAUGAACAACUUUAUUGGUUCUAAUUCUCAAAGCUAGGUCCCAUGAUAACACUCAUGAAAUUUGAAAUAUAGUAGUAUAAUGUUUGAUUAAUAUCUCAGAAUAAAAAAGAAUAAAAAAGAUGAAGACAUGUCUCUUAUUUUGAAAAAGACUAUAAAAAAAAUUAAUUUAUUUUUAUAUUUUUAUCUCUUUAACCAAACACAUUUUUAUUUUUAUUGUUUCAAUUUUUUCAUUUUAGAAAUAAUAGCCAAAUAAUAUCCAGGAGGCAACUAGAAAUCAACAAAAGAAAUUACACGAACAAAGCUAGUCAAUUUUCAACCUUGUUAGCAAGUAACCGAUAUAUAUAUAUAUAUAUACAUAGACUAUCCGUUAAACAGGAAUAAAAGAUGGAAGAUCUUUGGCAGCAUUAGAUUCCUUUGAUAACAGGGUUAUAACUCCGUGUAGUAAGAAUCUUUGGCAGCAUUAGUUUUGCACAUCAUUUUCACUGAUUUGGAUUGGAAGUAUGAAUGAUGGUUGUAUCUUCAUUGUUCCCCAGGCUUUGGAUUGCAGUAUUUAUUGCUAAUGUGUUGAUUGUUGAGAAUUCCUCUAUGCUGUACUAUUCCAGCAUUCGCUUCAUUGACCAAAUGAAAUUAAAAUUAACCCUGUAUAUUUGCUACUGAAUUGCAGAAACAAGGCUGCUGUCCUCCUUGCAAUUCGGUCCAGAAGAUGGGUGGCUCUCUUCAUUCUACUCAUGCUUGAUAAAAAAGGUAAACACACACAAGUUCAGAAUAUACCAGUCAAUAUGAAUCCAAACUAACCAUUUCCAGAUAAUCUAUUUGCUUUAGUUAGUCUCUGUGCUUCUUUGAAACUAACCUUAGUCCCCUGGUCUCAGUAUGACAAAAAGAGUGUUGUAGAAGCCAAGUUCAGAGAAGUUGAAAAAGAAAGCUGCAAUAGCAAUCCUUCUAGCGCAUCUAUCAAGCAUACACUAAAAAAUGAUACUGAUCUUUUGGCCUGCAAAGCAGAGUACUUCAAUCAGUGUGGUGAAUAUCAGAAAUGCUUUGAACUAACUUCAGAGUGAGUUUUUAACUUGUUUCAAACAGAAUACAUCUAAGAUCAUACCUUAGAUGUAUCAGGUCAUCUGAGCUUUAUCUUCUCUUUCACAGCCUGCUUGAGAAAGACCCUUUUCAUUUGAAAUGUACCUUAGUACACAUAGCUGCUGCUAUGGAGCUUGGAAAUUCAAAUGAGCUUUAUCUUAUGGCAUCGAACUUAGUGAAGGAUUAUCCUCAAAAGUGAGUUUUAUUUCUCUGCCUUUACUUUUAUGAUAUGCUCAUAUGACUUGUGCUCUUUGGAGUUGAAGGAUUACUCUCAGAAGCUACUUCUUUAUUUCCCUUUCAAUUUGAAGGAUUAUGCUUUGAUUGAGCUCUCUGUUUUCCCUUUUUACUUCUACUUUCUUUGCUCGCUAGAUGUGUUAAAGGCACAGGAUGGUUUGCUUGUCAUCAUGAAGGAAUGUGAUCAUGGUUAUUAUCUCAAAUGAUUUGGUGUUCAGCUCAGCUAGCUAACAUAAAUAAAGAAGUUAAAGACGUGGAAGUAAGAACUCUUGGCAACCAUGUGUCCACAACACCUGAAAUACCAUUCACAAGUAACAUGUGGGAUAUGCAUGUGAUUUGCUAGUGAUUACUUGCAUAGUCCAAUAAAAAGAACUGUGCAAGGAGUAGUAUUCAUCUGUUGUAGUUAUUGGGCUUCUCAUCCAUUAGGACAGUCACUCUCUCUUCCACAAAGCUAAAAUUUACCUGAUAUAUAACUGGCAGCAACAGUUUUCAGCUUGCAUACGUUUCUACCAUCAUAAACGGAAAGAUUGUAAAUCCUAAGAAGAGGUAAUGUAAUGGUGGACCUAUUAGAAUAGGAUGCUCUGACUGCAAGAUUCUUCCCUCCAAGGGGUAUGGCAUGUGAGUUAUUAUUCAGUUCCUCAAAUACAAUAAAAUCAUUGAAAGUGAGAACAACCAGUGCAGAAGAUUUUGAAUCAAUAAAAUGAAAUGGUACAUUAGAAGUGAAGAUGGCUUCAGGGUUGUCAAAAAAAAAAAAAAAAAAAAAAAAAGAGAAAAAAGAAGUGAGUGCAUUCUCCUAUUGUUCCUCACUUCUGUUGGAUGAUAAUUGGGUAUUGGCCUCCUUUUGUAUUUCUCUAGAUGUUUCGUUAUCUCCUGCUCAAAAUUGUAGAGAAAUGAUAUCUUCUGGAUGCUUAUCUGUAUUUCAUUCUUAAGUGCUUUUGAAUUACUAAUUAUGAAGUUUUGAAGAGAAAAGGACAGGAAAACAAAAGGAGAUUGUUUCUCUCUCAUAGACUUCACUUCAGCUUAAGUAUGAAUACAAGGAGUGCCCAUUAGAUAUUAUGUAAUCUUGUAUCAUGUGUACUUAUUAGGGCUUCUUGCCAUUUAGGGCUCUCUCAUGGUUUGCUGUCGGCUGCUACUACUACUGUAUCAAGAAGUUUGAUCAAUCACGGCGUUAUUUCAGGUAACUGUUGCCUGAAGCUCGGUAAACCAUGUACCUGUUUUGCUUCUUGUGGCCUUAUGGAACAAAUUUGAUUUUCUUCUUUAUCUCUUUUUUGACAUUACAGCAAGGCUUACAAGUCUAGAUGGAACCUUUGCACCUGCUUGGAUUGGCGUUGGGAAUGCUUAUGCUGCUCAAGAAGAGGGUGAUCAAGCAAUGUCGGCAUACCGCACUGCUGCUCGUUUAUUCCCAGGGUAAUUUGGACUAGAACCUCAUCACCUCUUCUAGUUGAAAAUAAUAUAAUAUUUCUUCACCGUGUAGUAAUUGAAGAGUGCGUGUUUUUGGCACGUUAUGUGCUUUUGUUAGGCUGCCUUUGUUCUAAGAAAAUAUUUUAGUAUUUCCCCGCAUAGUUGAAUUUCCCUGCCUCUCUAUCUUUAGGAGUUCUAUUUGAGGCCUCUCUACCAGCCUCCAAGGAGGUCCAUAUAUUAUUAAAUAUCUUCAAUAAAAAAGCUCUAAUUUAUAAAUUAAAAUAAAUAUGAAAAAGAAAACAUAUAUAGAAUUGGCUUACAAGCAGUAUAAGAAAAUUAAAGUGUUUCAUGUUCUUUGAAAAGUUUUUGAUAUAACUAUAAACGGAAACAUCCUAAAUAUACAAAUUUUAUAAAUAUAUGCGGGUUUGGGGGCCAACGUGUUUUCUCCAUACCCAACCCCAUCGUUGCAGACUUGCAGGUACAUAUGGACCUUUAUCGCAACCUUUUAAAAAAUAUCACUGUCUUUUAGUACUAUUCCUUCUACUUGUAAGAAUUGUAAAGGUUCAUCAUGGAAUUGUUAGAAUCUAUUUACGAGAAUCUGCCUUGAAGAUAGAGUUAAGUGCAGUCAAUUAUUUGAAUUUGAAUGUAAUUGUUUUUGUAUCAGAUUCCGCCACAGGAUUUGCUGCAGAGUCUGUUAUUAGAAGACGAAUAAUUUCUCAAGUUUGUUGAGAGUUUUUAUUAAUUUCAAGUUCUUUGUAAGCCUUUAAAUAGGCAUUCUCAAUUAAUUAAAAGUAUUGAUCUUUCUAUACUUAACUCUGCUAUUUAGAUUUUUUUUUUUUAUUUUUAAAUCAAUGUUAGCUAUCAGCAAAGAAUUCUAUCAGUGAUAUCAAAGCUUUAUAUCCUACGGGUUGUGAGGCAAGUAUUCUUAAUGAUAAACACAGAGAGGGUAAGGCAAGUAUUCUGAGUGAUAAACUCAGAGAGGGUGAGCGUAAACACUAUUGAUUUAUUCUUUUUUUUUGGUUCGAUGUCUACUUCAAGUAAUACUGCAUCUGCAAUUCCAGUGUUCAAUGGUGAACACUAUCAUAUUUGGGCUAUCAAGAUAAAGUUUUAUCUAAGAUCUCAAGGCUUAUGGAAUGUUGUAGUGUCUGAUUCCGAUCCACCACUAUUGACAACAAACCCCACCAUUGCUCAGAUGAAAGCACAUGAAGAAGAAAAACUCAAGAAGGACAAAGCCAUCAUCUGCCUACAUUCUGAACUUGCAGAUCAUAUUUUCACCAAAAUAAUGAACUUGAAAUCACCAAAACAAGUAUGGGACAAGCUCCAAGUUGAAUUUGAAGGUAGCAAUACAGUCAAAACAGUUAGGCUUCUUGCAUUAAAAAGAGAAUUUGAGUUGAUGAAGAUGAAAGACAAUGAAUCUGUCAAAGAUUAUUCUUGCAUGUUAAUGGAUGUUGUAAAUCAAAUAAGACUUCUUGGAAAAACAUUUGAAGAUCAUAAGGUGGUAGAAAAAAUUAUGAUGUUUGUACCACAAAAGUUUGAAGCCAAGAUCUCUGCAAUAGAAGAAUCUUAUGAUUUGCAAAAUCUCAUUGUUGCAUAGUUAAUUAGCAAACUUCAUGUACAGGAGCAAAGGGUACAAAUGAGAGAUGAUGUGGUUGUUGAAGGUGUUUUCCAAGCAAACAACAAAGGAAGGAGUACUGGUAACCUGCUAAGAAAGAAACCUGUCAAGUUUUCUAAGGGAAAGACAAGUAUAUCUUCAAGAAGACAAAUUUUCUCACCGUGCUCUUAUUGCAGAAGAACUAACCAUGCUGCGAAAGAUUGUUGGUUUAAGGGUAAACCUUCUCUCCGGUGUAUGUUUUGUAAUAAUCUUGGCCAUAGUGAAAAAUAUUGUAGAAUCAAGAAGAAACAAUCUUAGCAGCAAAUACAACAAGAAGCACAUGUUCUGAAGAAGGCAAAGAUGAUGAGGAGCAUCUGUUUAUGGCAUCUUAAACUUGCAACACCUUUGAACUGAAUACAUGGCUUAUAGAUAGUGGCUACACUAGUCACAUGACUAAGUUUCUGUCAAUUUUUUCUUCUAUUGACAGAUCAGUUCAACCAAAGAUCAAGUUGGGAAAUGGAGAUAUUAUGCAGGUUAAGGGAAAAUGCACUGUUGCGGUAAGGACAAAUAGAGGUACUAAAACUAUCACCAAUGUUCUUUACAUUCCAGAACUAGACCAAAAUCUUCUUAGUGUUGCACAAAUGCUAAGAAAUGGUUAUCAAGUCUCUUUUAAAGAUAGUUUUUGCUUUAUCACUGAUACACAUUAUUCAGAGAUAGCAAAAAUUAAAAUGGAUGGUACGGUAAUAGCUUCUAUUUGAAGCUUGAUACAUUUGAAGGGCAUGUCUUUAGUGCCAAAGUUGAUGAGAGUAUUGUUUGGCACAAAAGAUUUGGUCACUACAACUUAAAAUCAUUAAAAUUGAUGUAUGAUGCUGGUAUGGUAGAAGAUAUACCUGAAAUUCAUGUUACUGCCCAAACCUGUGGAAGCUGUGAAUUGAGGAAGCAACACCGACAGUCAUUUCCUAAAGGUAUAUCCAAAAGAGCUACUCACAAAUUGGAGUUAGUCCAUUCAAACAUUUAUGGACCAAUGAGCACAACCUCUUUGAGCAAUAAUGUGUAUUUUAUCUUGUUCAUUGAUGACUUCAGUAGAAUGACUUGGGUUUAUUUUCUGAAAACCAAGUCACAAGCACUUUCAAUGUUCAGAAACUUCAAGAGUAUGGCUGAAACUCAAAGUGGUCAGAAAAUUAAGGUGCUGAGAACUGAUAAUGGAGGAGAGUAUACUUCAAAGGAGUUCAAUGCCUUUCAUCAAGAAGUUGGGAUUGUACACCAGUUGAUAGUUCCAUACUCUUCACAGCAGAAUGGAGUUUCUGAAAGGAAGAACAAGACUGUGAUGGAGAUGUCCAGGUGUAUUUUGUUUGAAAAGAAGUUACGAAGGUUUCUAUGGGCUGAAGCAGUAAAUACUUCAGUAUAUUUGCUUAAUAGACUACCAACUAAGUUUGUUCAAAGCAGAACACCAUUGGAAGCAUGGUCUGGUGUCCGACCUACUGCCAAACAUCUCAAAGUGUUUGGAUCAUUGUGCUACUUUCAUGUGCCUUCUGCCAAAAGAGGAAAACUUGAUGAAAGAGAGAGCAGAGAAAAGAAUUCUCAUUGGAUAUGCAGCUGAAUCUAAAGGUUACAAAAUAUACAAUCUGAAUGGAGCUAAAAUUCAGAUUAGCAAAGAUGUGCAUUUUGAUGAGAAUUCCUGCUGGAAUUGGGACUUAAAGGAAGUUGAUCAUAAAACCACAGCUGCUCUUGAACCAGCAGUAAGAAGAACUGGUGUUGAAGAUCAACUAGACAUUGAAGCAACUUCAGAUACUAUAGUACUUAAGGUGAGGCCAUUGUCUGAUGUGUACGAAAGAUGUAAUCUUGUACAUGCUGAGCCUACAAACUACACUGAAGCUGCAAGAGUUCCAACUUGGAUUGAUGCAAUGAAAUCAGAAAUUGAUUCCAUUGAAAGAAAUGGAACUUGGAGAUUGAUAGAACUUCCUGAAGAUAAAAAGGAAAUUGGUGUGAAGUGGGUCUUCAGAACCAAAUUCAAUCCAGAUGGUUCAAUUUUCAUACACAAGGCUAGAUUGGUUGUUAAAGGCUUUGCUCAAGUUGCUGGAGUAAAUUAUGGUGAUACUUUUGCACCAGUAGCUAGGCAUGACACUAUAAGACUUCUACUUGCACUUGCAGGUCAAAAGGAAUGAAAAGUUUAUCAUUUAGAUGUCAAGUCUGCCUUUCUAAAUCGUAUAGUCCUUGAAGAAAUCUAUGUUCAGCAACCAGAAGGCUUUAAAGUUGCUGGUCAUGAACACAAAGUAUACUAGCUACACAAGGCUCUUUAUGGCUUGAAGCAAGCACUAAGGGCCUGGUACAACAAAAUUGAUACUCAUUUGAUUCAACUGGGAUUCAAGAGAAGUGAAAAUGAAGCUACUUUGUAUCUGAAACAAGAUGAAGAUGGUCUGCAGCUGGUAAUAUCACUCUAUGUUGACGACAUGCUAGUGACUAGAAGCAAUGUAAAAUUGCUAGCAGAGUUCAAAAGAGAAAUGCAAGAUGUUUUUGAAAUGUCUGAUGUUGGCAUCAUGAACUACUUUCUAGGAAUGGAAAUACAUCAAUGCAGCUUAGGUAUUUUUGUUUCACAAAGGAAAUAUGCUGUUGAUAUACUCAAGAAAUUCAAGCUUGAAUCAUGCAAAGAAGUAGCAACUCCAUUGGUACAAAAUGAGAAGAUUUCAAAGAAUGAUGGUGAGAAACUUGAAGAACCCUCUGCAUUUAGCAGCUUAGUAGGUAGCCUACUAUACUUGACAGCAACCAGACCUGACUUGAUAUUUCCAGCUGAUUUGCUAUCAAGGUUCAUGAGCUCACCUAGCAAUGUUCACAUAGGAGUUGCUAAGAAGGUGCUGAAGUAUAUUAGAGGAACAACCAACCUUGGCAUCUGGUACUCAAAGAUAGGAGGAUUUAAAUUAAUUGGAUAUGUAGACAGUGACUGGGUAGGGAGUGUUGAUGACAUGAAAAGCACUUCUGGGUAUGUUUUCACCAUUGGUUCAGGUGCAAUAUGUUGGAAUGCAAAAAAGCAAGAGGUGGUGGCACAAUCAACUGCAGAAGCAGAGUAUAUCUCCAUGGCAGUGGCUAUAAAUUAAGCAAUCUGGUUAAACAAGUUGCUUGCUGAUUUGGGCCAAGAACAAAGCUCACUAACUAAGUAUUAUUGUGACAACAAGUCUGCCAUUGCCAUUGCUCAAAAUCCGGUUCAACAUGGCCAAACCAAGCACAUCAAUGUGAAAUUUCACUACAUAAGAGAAGCUGAAAAGAAUCUACUUAUAAAGCUUCAUUACUGUCCAACUAAUGUUCAACUUGCUGAUAUAAUGACUAAAGCACUUCCUAGAUCAAGGCUGGAAUUUCUAAGGAUGAAACUUGGUUUGUCCAAGGCAAGUCUCAAAGAGGAGUGUUAGAAUCUAUUUAUGAGAAUCUGCCUUGACGAUAGAAGAUAGAGUUAGAUGCAGUCAAUUAUUUGAAUUUCAAUGUAAUUGUUUUCAUAUCAAAUUCUGCCGCAGGAUUUGCUGUAGAGUAUGUUAUUAGAAGACCAAUAAUCUCUCAAGGUUGUUGAGAGUUUUUAUUAAUUUCAAGUUCUUUGUAAGCCUUUAAAUAGGCAUUCUCAAUUAAUUAAAAGUAUUGAUCUUUCUAUACUUAACUCUGCUUUUUAUAAUUUUCUACUCUUCUCAAAUCAGUGUUAGCUGUCAACAAAGAAUUCUAUCAGGAAUAUUUUCGGCUUCAUCUUUCUUUCUGUCGCACGUGUGCGGCGUCGCGGCGAUCGAGUCCACUCUAAAAUCCUAGAUGUUGGUAUCCUGGAAAAAUCAGGAAAAUGGGGUACACAAGGAUUUCUUGUCUUUUAUCUGUGGAAAGCAGGAAUGAGAAUCGUCACCUAGUAUUUUGGUCACUAGAAACCCUAACUGGUCUCAGAGAUCGGGUACGAAGACUGGUUGCAUAAAGGGAAGGUAUUAACACCCCAAAUACGCCCUACCUAAAGUAAGCUGCAUUGUUUUAUUGUCCGAUAAAAUCUAAGGUAUUGUCGUUUUUUCUAGUUGUUGGUCCGUCCAUGAUUUAAGAAAAGUCCUCUUUAGUAAGGAGAUCCUUAUCUUAUCGAGUAAAACCUAAUUGUUCUAACAUCAACACAAGAAUUUAAUAUCCGGAAUACAUCUUACGUAUAAGAUCGUAACGCCAGAUACUAAAAGAAAACAAAAUAAUUUUUUUGGAAUUUAUGAAAUAUUGGCCUAGUUCUUGUGACUUUAAUAAACUGGUUAUUAAAGCCAAAAUGCAUGAUAAUACAUAUUUUUAAAUUUUUGUUGUAUGAAAAUAUGAUAUGAUUUUUUUUCUUUGAGAUACUUGGCCGAAUGCAUGAAAACAAAAACUUUUGAUACCGGAUUUAUAUCUUUACGGUAUAAAAAUACAAACUUAUAAUAAGAAAAAUUUAAUAAAAAAAUACGCGGAAAAAUCACAAAUUUUUUAAAAUAAUAAUUUUUUUUGAAUAAUUUUUUUUUUUUUGGAACUGAGUCUAGCUCGGUCCAUGUGGCUGGGCUGGACCUUAACAGCCUAACCUGGUCACUGGUUCAAGCCAGUGACCUGGCUGAGUAGCAGGCGUGCGUUACAAUUCACUUAUUUCAGUAGCAUGUGAAUUAUAAUCCACAGCUACAGUAGCAUGUGAAUUAUAAUGCAAAGGAGAGAAGAAAGGACUCACCUGGAGACGAAGCCGAAUGCACUGGUGUGUUGUUGGUCCUCUGUUCGUGUCUCUAUCCUUUUUCUGAGUUUUCUUUUUUAUUCUCUGCCCGUGUGUUGCUCCACUGUCUUCUCCUUUUGCUUCUUCGGUUUUUUUGUUCCUUUGUGCUUCUUCUGGUUCUGGAGAAAGGAAGCCGAUGGUGGUGCUGACCUCCUCCGCUGGUUUCCUGGUUCUGGAGAAAGGGAAGUCGAUGGUGACGCUGACCUCCUCUGCUGGUUUCCUGGUUUUGGCAAAGAGGACGCCGAUGGUGACUUAGCUCCCCUGUUCUCUGUGUUCUUUGCUUCGCCGUUUGGUUUCUCUUGUUUCUCUUCCUUUGCUCCUCUGUUCCCGUCUCCUUGUUCGGCCCUCCUUCGUGUCUCCCUCUUUUCUCCUGUAUUUUCAUUCCCCUUCUCUGCUCCUCCCCUGUUCUCUCUUUCUUUUUUUCUCCCCUCUUCCCUCCUUGCGUCCGUCCUCCUUUUCAAAACUUCCCCCCCUGUGUUCGGUCCCUUCUCUGGGCUUUAUAGCCAAAAGAAAAGUAGUUUAACCCUCUAAUCACACUAUUUCUGGUUGUGACAAAUAAAUUGCUUUGAACUCGCAUAACCGUUAAUUUCAAUUAGUUCACUGAAGCAAACCUAUAUUGAUGAAUGCUUUUUAGUUACAGUUUUUUUAUUUUUGGAAACCUUUGGUGAUCCUUUUAGUUCUUAGCAAGGUUCUUAUAGACUUUUUAGUUUCUGUUUCUCCUUUCCUAAAGCUUUUGUGUGAGUAUUUUUAAGGUUCAAGUUGGGAGCUUUCUUGGUGCACUUGGUGAAAUACAACAGAUAGGAAUCUAGUAUCAUGUUAUAGCAACUACUUGCUCAAAUUCCAUUGAUAAGAUUAUAGGAAGAUCAGCUCGGGCCUUCGUAACCCUCAACUCUUCAAGAAUAGGAUGGAAAGAAUUUUCUUGAAUACAUUAAUGCUUGUGUAAUGUGGUCAUAUAGAGGCUCCUCAUUAUCACAUGAUUGAUUUGAUGAGCAGCAUGGCUGACAUUGAGACUUAUGGUUUGAAUUUAUGUACAUAUUCGAGUUGGAGUCUUGUUUUUCUCAUCCACUUGUUGCAGCCAUCAUCGUAGAAAUACAAUUCUCUUAUUAUGUGUAUAAAUAAAUGACAUGGCAUAUAAUUGUUCAUUAAUCAUAUCAAACUACUAUGCCAGGAUUUACCAUGAAGCAAUUUCAUAUUAUGAGAGAGCACUUACAUUAUCACCUAGAAGCUUGAGUACCUAUGCUGGUCUUGCAUACACUUAUCAUUUGCAGGUAAAUUGAGCUCUUUUCAUUUCAAUGUAAGUCUGUUAAACUGACAUUUUAUUUGGCUGUUGUAGUUGAAAGCAAUAGUUUGAGAAAAGUAAUUGUAAGUGCUUGAAGUGGAUUAGUGCGGAUAAUGAGAGUGGUCAUGAAAAUCCAAAAUGUUAUGAAAAGUAAUCGGAUAAUGAGAGUGGCAAUGUUACAAUUUGAUACUAUCAUGAUUUACUGCUGCAAUCACAUGCUACCACAAGGUAAGUAAGAGUAUUGUAUGCUUUCAAACACAAAAUUAUACUGUGGUUAUAGUGUGCUUCCCCCAUCCCCUCUAUCUUCUUCGUCAUUAAAAUCCCCCAAGCCCUGGCCUUAUAAUAUUUUCUUCUCAAUCAGGCUUUAUGGCUGAAACCAGAUGAUCAAUUUUGCACUGAAAUGCUGAGCUUGGCACUUGUAGAUGAAGGUCGUCGAGGCACGGACCCCAAAAUUGAAUUCCGCUGAAAUGAGUCAUUUUUAAUGACACUAUUUAUACUCUUCUGUUCUUGUUGUAAUGUAUGUGGAAUCUGAAGUCCUUGAAUGGAUUGAUUCAUUUUGAUCCAUUUUAGAGUUGGGCAAUAUUACAUUAGGGAGAGUUUGGCAAUAUAUGUAAUUCUGUAUCGUUUGGUUUUAUCUAUUGAUGCGACGACAAAACCAAAAUUAUUUUUAGCAUAAAGAAGGAUGUUCAAGCACCGGAAGUAUGUUUUUAAAAAUUUUAAAAAACCUGCGCCUCAGCUUGAUCUUGUUGGUUAAAAUAAGAUGUUAUUAUUCAAGUAGAUAAAAAAAAGCAAUGAAAUUAAAUCAACCGAAUUAAAUAAAAAAAGAAGUGAUCAUAAUUUAAUUCUAAGAUAGAAACGGGAUAGUUCUUGCUUGACAGUCUAUGUUUAUUUGGAAGAAUCUGCUAAUGAAAAACAAGGUGAUGGUGUUAUUUAUAGGCACUUCACCCGUGACCAUUUCUUAUACACACCAAGAGGCAAAUGUUGCCUUGUGAGGAAUGGACAGACACACAACAGCAGAUGAAAUGGUAAUAAAAGCAAGCAAGCAAGCAAGCAAGCAAGCAAGCAAGCAUGCAGUUUGAUUCAUCAUACAAACGAAAGCAAGAAAACACUCGUGGCACAACGACAAACACAUGCCAGCCUAUGUUUAUUUGGAAAAUGGACAGCCACGCGUUGCUGUGGCGGUGUUGACAGUGUUAUCUUCUGAUUGGCAUGGCGAUAUCAGCGCCCCUUUCAGGAGCCCCCCAAAUAACUCUGCUGGGUCAUAAUAAACCUCCACAUCUUCUGCCCUCAAAGAUUCAUCCACCUGGGAACCCGGAAAGAAAUCACAGUUAUUUCGUCUUAUGUAUUAGGUUGUCCUUUAUUUUUAAGUUUUCUUCCACAAAUUCAAAAUUUUCAAGUUCUUAAAUUAUAAUUUCUUGUGAUAUUGUCAAAUGGAUACCAACUUAUCAAAUAAAAUGCCAUUAUGAAUAUUUUGCAACCAAGAAGCUAAAAAAAAUAUUUAUGUUAUCAGUAAAAGUUUUUCUAAUAAACUAAAUACCGACGGAAUAAGGCAAUGAUAAAAUGCAAAAUUUUGGACGUUAACAUAAUAAAAUUAUAAAAAAAUAUAUUAAUUUAAUUUUUUUCAAACAAAAAAUACUUUUAAAAUUUGGUUGAAUCAUAAAAAGAAAUACUCUACAAAUCCUCCAUAAAACAAUGAAUAAGACCCAUCAAACUUGAAAGUUGAUGUAUUUAUUUCCAGAAAUGUUUUUUUUUUUGAAAGAAAACGAUAUUUUGAUGUUCUAAGCAUGCCAAGUCAGAAAUUUGUUUUUCUCCUUUUCGAUUACUAGUUUGGUGUUUUUUUUUUUUUUUUUCCCAGUAUCUCUUAAAGCAUACCUUACCUUGAGGACUUCAAAGCCAUAGAACUCAACCUUUUCUUCAGUAGAAGUCUUAGCAUGCUAAGUCAGGAAUUGUUUUUCUCUUUUAUGAUUACUAGUUUGGAUUUUUUUUUAAUCUUUUCAGUAUCUUUAAUUAAAGCAUACCUUGAGGACUCCAAAGCCAUAGAACUCAACCUUUUCUUCAGUAGGAGCAUGGCCUUUGAAAGGUCCUUCAAAGAAACCCCAAUGCCUGAAUUUGAAAGAAAUCACUGGAGGCCCUGAAUAUACACUCAGCACUUCCCAUGCGAAUCCUCGAGGCAAGGC
rnacentral:lncRNA from 1 species